GCAUUUAUUAAAAUAGGCACACUUGGAUUCCUGAAAAAUUGCCUUUAUUUCAGGGGGUUUUUUUGCGUUUGUUUUCUCCCCACUUCCUCAGCUCCUCUUUUGUUUUUGUUAAGAAGCCCAAGAGUUCUGAAUAACUGAGGCCACCCUAAUUACGUUUGUUUUCUUGAUGUUCGUUAGUAGGAGGUGAAGCUCAGAAUGAUACAGCUGGGCACCGACGACACAAUCUGUCUGCUUCUGCAAGGUACUUUAAACUGCUCAGGCAGGAAGAACGCUUUCACGCUCAGAAGUAUUUCAAGUGAUGCAUCAACCAGGUGCUGCAAGUUGAAUCAAGUUCUUUCGAAUUGAAGCGCAGUGCGUCUGCUAUCCAGGAAUGUUCCCUGCACAACCCUAUGCUUUCUGACAGGGUUAACUAAUGGCCUACAAAUCGAGUUUGAAGACAGCAGCGAUUACCACUUCGAACGGAAAGUAUCAAAGGCAGUCUGAAUAUUUCCAUUGUGUGGUACAGGCACACAGGAAACAUACUGUGUCUUUAAUGUCUUUAAUGAAUACUAAGUGUACCAGACUCCCUCUUCAGCGUUUAAAAUGAUGUGAGCCAUCGAGAGCAUUUUGUCUGAAUGUAUCACUACCUGGUACGGCAACUCUACUUUUCAAAGUUGGAGACGGUUACAGAG